AUGACCGGGAGAGGUGUAGAGCUCACGAGAGUGAGAGACAUUGCAAGGCGGGAGAAGAAAGACAACCUAUUUUGUCGUUUCCUAUCUUCGAAUAGGGUGGACGUUGCAAUUUGCUUACCUCAUAGUACAACCGCUCGUUCCACAUUUACUGCACUGCUCAUGCCUUCCACUCUGGCUGGCAUUCUCUCCUUCCCCCAUCACGCCCAUUCACCCCCUCAACCCUCGCCCUCCCUCGAUCUACCCCCCUUGCCACAACCCAAAAGUCCACCCAAACCAAACCUUAACCCUGUCGAGGAGACGGCGAUGCCGAAAGCCGGCGGCAAGAAAGGGGAGGAGUUCCGUGACGAGGAUGAGGAGCGGCUGACCAAUGAGGAGUAUAAGAUCUGGACGAACACACCCUUCCUCUAUGACCUCAUCAUCACCCAUGCGUCUGAAUGA
rnacentral:rRNA from 1 species